GCGAAUCGAGAUAAAUGGUGAAUAGGCGCACGACCACGCUGAGGUCGAGCCUUGCCGUGUUCUUUCAGUUUGUGCAUCCAAACAGCGGUACGAAAAAAGGUUAAGAAUAGCUACAUUUUCAAAUGGCAAAUGAAGAAGAACUCAGUUUUAUGAUCUUCUUGUCACUCUAAUGGAUUAAAGUCGCGGCGGUUUUGACAUUCUUAAUGAGCACUUAUUGUCCGUCUUCAUUAAUGAAAUUGAAAACCUCUUUGUAGAAACUCUCCAUAAUUCCUGUCUUCACGUUAUGCUGCAAGAGCACAAAUAGUCCGCAAUCCCCAGGUGAGCUGUGGAUCUUUGAAGAGCACGGAAAAGUAUCACGUGAAGAGGCUAAACCAGAGACUGAACAGAGCAAUGGCUAACAAAACGGUUGCGAUGCUGGUCCUCAUCAGCUGCGUCCUGUCGUCGAUGGCGUCGACGGCCCUUGGGUGCAGCGGCACGGAGAAUUGUUUGAGGGGCCCGACGCCCUCACCAGAAUUUCCCAGAAGACUUUGCAUGACGGGUUGCUAUAAUAGGAAUUGCAGGCACGCGUUUCCGAAGGACCUCUGCCUGUCCGACUGCGCGUUAGAAUGUCUCCACCAUGAAUGACAGCUACUCCCGUCGCAGAACCAAUGAUGUCCGUGUGCUUUGAAACAUAAUAAGAUGUAUUCGCAUCUCCC